rnacentral:misc_RNA from 1 species
GAUAUAGACGAGUUUUGAUCCCAAGAAGCAAACCAUACUUGCUCUUAGGCUCCAUAAAAUAUCACUUUCUGUCGCUUUUUAAAAGAAAAAUCUGACUUCUACAAGCUAACUCAUUUGCAUGGCUAUCCGUUUGAAUCCUUGCCGUUCUUCUAGCUCCAGAGCCUUUUCCAGUAUAUCUUCAGUUGCUAAUGAGAUAAUACAGCCAAGAAUUUGUUUAGCCUCCUGGAAUCCCCAGAAUUAUUCAAGAAUUUGUCGAUGGAAGCA